CUCUGGUGUUGUGUGUGGACAGUUGUGGAAAACAAAAUACUUGGCGCUCAUCCACAGACAACACUGAGGCCCAUUAUCUUCAGUAUGCUCGCCAAGCCAGCUUUGACAAAGGGGAAACUCAGCGUGGCCUCCUUUGUUGACCAGAGGUGAGAAGCAAGGAAUGAAGAAACGAAUCACUUUGGCUGUGUAGCUCCCUACAGACAUCAAUCAAAA